AGUUUCUUUUACUACACCAAAAUUUUACAGCAGAUCUACAUUUUAUAUUAAUUUACAGGGUUAAAUCGGUUUAUAUUUUUAACAAACGAUAUGGGUGAUGAGGAAGCUGCGACUCUUGAUGGUCAGUUCUUUGAAUUCUCCAAGCUUUUGGACAACAAGCGGAGCGGCUUAACAAUCACACUUUACCGCUCCGAUUUCUGGAUGAGGCAAGCUAAAAUCUUGGACGAUAGAAAAGUAACCAUGACGGACACUGGAAUUCUUUUCAAUAAAUACAGUAAAUCCGAACUUGAUUUCGACGAGUGGUUAGCUUUCAUAUCGGACCUCUGCUUGCUGAAGGGCUUGAACGAAGAGAAGGUCCAAGAGCUGUUGACCAACUGUGGGCUUCCCGGUCAAAUUCCUGUUUUGGUACCACAGUACAGGGACUUUUAUCUCACUUAUAAACCCAAAGAAAAAAUGGCUAUGUAAUGUCCGGCAUUAUUUCUCGAAUUAUUAAUUUACUUUUUUAUACUUAAUUCAUUGGAACAUAUUAACUCGUACCUGGACAGUGAACUGGUAUAGCCGUUUUGUGAUGUCAAUUGUAUUAGAUGUAUUUUUAGAUUGUCUAUUGGAUUAUUAAAUAUCGAAUUUAGUCAUAAUAUAUUUCUUAGACAAGUUAUUACAUUUCUUAGACUUAUUAUUUAAUUUCAUAAAAUAAUUUAGUUUGUAAUUUUCCCUUUA